rnacentral:rRNA from 1 species
GUACACGCUGUGACUAGCAUAUCAAUAAGCGGAGGAAAAGAAACUAACAAGGAUUCCCCUAGUAACGGCGAGUGAAGCGGGAAGAGCUCAAAUUUGAAAUCUUAAAGGGUUUCCCUUUACGAAUUGUAGUUUAAAGAAGUGUUUUCUGUUGAGGUUUUGGUAAAAGUUCUUUGGAAUAGGACAUCAUAGAGGGUGAGAAUCCCGUAUUUGACCUUUACUUUCAACUUUGUGAUACACUUUCAAAGAGUCGGAUUGUUUGGGAAUGCAGUCCAAAAUGGGUGGUAAAUUUCAUCUAAAGCUAAAUAUUGGCGAGAGACCGAUAGCGAACAAGUACCGUGAGGGAAAGAUGAAAAGAACUUUGAAAAGAGAGUUAAACAGUACGUGAAAUUGUCAAAAGGGAAGCGUUUGACACCAGUGUCGUUUUUCUGAAAAUCAAUUAAAGAACUGUUUAUGCUAAGCUUGUUUAGACUUUAUCAGCUAUCUGUUUAGUUUUAGGCUUUUCUUUAAUGCACUUUUCAGUUAACAAGUCAACAUCAAUUUCUUUUGCUGUAAAAAAGCUUGAGGAAGGUGGCUUGAGAUUCGUCUUAAGUGUUUAUAGCCUCUUGCCUAUGCAGUCGGAGAGAUUGAGGUCUGCAGCGUAGAUCCUUCGGGGCUAAAUGCAUUUGUGCUAAGUUAUAGCAUUUUAUAGACAACUUGUUGACUAUGAUUUGUCUUGUAGCUUACUCGCUUAUGUUAUUUUACCUACGCUUAGGAUGUUGAAGUCAUCGUAUCGCGC